rnacentral:rRNA from 1 species
CGUAGGGUCCGAGCGUUGUCCGGAAUUAUUGGGCGUAAAGGGCUCGUAGGCGGUCUGUUGCGUCGGGAGUGAAAACUUACAGCUUAACUGUGAGCGUGCUUCCGAUACGGGCAGACUUGAGGUAUUCAGGGGAGAACGGAAUUCCUGGUGUAGCGGUGAAAUGCGCAGAUAUCAGGAGGAACACCGGUGGCGAAGGCGGUUCUCUGGGAAUAUCCUGACGCUGAGGAGCGAAAGUGUGGGGAGCGAACAGGA